rnacentral:miRNA from 5 species
UAUUGCUUGAGAAUACGCGUAGU